CCUACGGGGGGCAGCAGUAGGGAAUCCUCCGCAAUGGACGAAAGUCUGACGGAGCAACGCCGCGUGAGCGAAGAAGGCCUUCGGGUCGUAAAGCUCUGUUGUUAGGGAAGAACAAGUAGGAGAGUAACUGCUCUUACCUUGACGGUAUCUAACCAGAAAGCCACGGCUAACUACGUGCCAGCAGCCGCGGUAAUACGUAGGUGGCAAGCGUUGUCCGGAUUUAUUGGGCGUAAAGCGAGCGCAGGCGGUCUUUUAAGUCUGAUGUGAAAGCCCUCGGCUCAACCGAGGAAGGUCAUUGGAAACUGGAGGACUUGAGUGCAGAAGAGGAGAGUGGAAUCCCAUGUGUAGCGGUGAAAUGCGUAGAUAUAUGGAGGAACACCAGUGGCGAGGGCGACUCUCUGGUCUGUAACUGACGCUGAGGCUCGAAAGCGUGGGGAGCAAACAGGAUUAGAUACCCUUGUAGUC
rnacentral:rRNA from 1 species